rnacentral:lncRNA from 1 species
CACAUUUCCCAAACUUGCUCCAAAUUUGGGAGAGAUUUGGGACGUCCGGACAUUGUCCGGUGUUCUUUUUUGUCUGCCCCGGUCCCGCAACAAGAGUUGGGAAAGGAGAAGAAAAAGUGAAAAGACGAGGAGAAAGGAUAAAGAGAAGGAAAAGAUAAUUUGGGAGAGGAAUUUGGAGGAUGUGGUUGAGUGAUGAGGGUGGACAUGGAAAGGACACAUGUCCACUUGCUUCCCCAAAUGACAAAAAAAAGUCAUUUUGGAACAAAAUUUGGGAGAUCCCAUUAGAGUUGCUCUAAGCUCGUGAGAGAACCAAAGGUACGCGUCGGCGUCAAGUGGAGAGAUAAGCACCUACACCUGCAUCCACGUGGUUGAA